ACGAACCCCAAUAAUCUUACCGAGCCGAGCAACCGAGCGUUCCUUAGGGUUAUCGGGGUUGGAACUUUUUGUCCAUCCCAGCCACCGACACACCGUCCUAGAGAAGCCCUCCCGGCCCAGGUCUGGCCGGAUCCUGCAGCAGGCCGCCCGCUGCGCUGCCCACUGUCUCGUCCACCCACCACGCCGCGCGGAGAGGAUGCACGAGGGGGAGGAGAAGCCCCGCGGCCGCCAUCGUCGAGGGCCACCCGUCGGAACUCUCACGCGACGGCGAGGAGAAGGUAGGCCGGUGGAGGAGUCCGAUCCGGCCGCCCGUCGGAGACGAUGCUUUGUUGAUCUUUCCUUGUCAGUGAAUUGCAGUUUGUGUUGUUGUAUCAAUGAAGGUUUGCUUUCUGUUCUGUUGUCUCAAAUCAAUGAGACAAAGAGGAAAAGUCGUUGGGGAAGAUGAAUCUGUCACAGUCACAGGGUAGACGAGACGGCCGGGCGGAAAGCCGGCAAGUCAGAACAGACUGCUCGCCGGCCAUGACCAUCAGAAUCGGGAUUUGGUAAACAAGGUGGAUUGACAAUUAAUGGGGAAUGGUAAUCAGGCCCGGAACUUUGAGAUCGCGAGGUAUUUUGGGGAGCCAUCGGUUUUGAGGAGCGGUGCCGGCCGCCAGGCCGGUAAAUAGCGGUUUAAUCAACGAAUAAGUACUACUCCGUAGUAUGAUUUUUACGUUUUAGAAUCCGAUUAGAAUUGGGAAGCCUCGUUCGUUCGAUCAACCAACCAACGAGUACUAAUCCGAGUCGAAUUUGGCAGGUCACACGUACGGAAGGGGUUCUGCCCUCCUCUGGGUCGAUCUUUAUAUUAGACAGCUAGUUCGACAUAUCAACCGAACUCAUAGCACACACAACUUAGCGAUUAGCUAGGUCGAUCGAAUCGAUUCAACUCCUCGAUUAAACUAGCUAGUUGAAGCGUCGAUCCAUCCGUAUAUACAGAUCUGGUGUGAUCGACCGAUCGAUCAUCGAGAUGGGAGGAUCGUCGUCCAGGAGCAGCAUUGCCGUUGUGGGCGUCGACCUCGAGACAGGCCCCACCACCGUCGUCCAGCAGCCUGAAGCAGCAGCAGCAGCAGCGCAGCUUCAGGCGCCGGCACACACCAACAUGUUCUUAGAGAACGAAGCCGAAAGGAUGGGGCGUGCGUGUUGCGUCGGGAUACUGUUGGGAUGCGUGGACAUUGGGAUCGUCGUCAUGACUUGGCUAAGCAGCGGCCACAGCUGGGUGGCAACACUGGCAUGUGCAUUUCUUUUCACCGAUGUUUGUAUCAUCGGGGUGGCAUUUCAGCUGCAACAUAAGUAAUGAUCAAUUAUCCAUUGAGAGGAAUGUCUUUGAACUGGGAAGUGGCGGCCCUAUGAUUUCGAAUUUCUAUUUUAAGUCCUUGUAUAAUUUUUGCAAUUUUAUCAUAUGAGCUUCAUAUUCUUA